CGGGUGAGUAACGCGUAUGCGACCUGCCCGUUGCAGGGGGGAUAAUCGGGAGAAAUCCCGUCUAAUACCGCGUAACGCCGCGGGGCUGCAUGGCCCUGCGGCCAAAGGGAGCGAUUCCAGCAACGGAUGGGCAUGCGUGACAUUAGCUAGUUGGCGGGGCAACGGCCCACCAAGGCGACGAUCAGUAGCCGGCCUGAGAGGGUGAACGGCCACAUUGGGACUGAGACACGGCCCAAACUCCUACGGGAGGCAGCAG
rnacentral:rRNA from 1 species